GUUCUGUCUUCGGCCGAGGGGGGAUUCUGCCUACACGGUAUGAGUCUCGUUCCCUUUGGGUGUGCGGUGUCAAAGCCGUGCACUCUUAACGGUCGGACAAGUCCGUCGGAGUGUGGUUAUUGUUGGAAGGGCAACCGACCAAUGAGGCCACCGUAAUCGUUCGGGGUGCCUUUAAUCGGGUGUCUCGGGCGGCCGACAUAGUUUACUUUGAACAAAUUAGAGUGCUCAAAGCAGGUGACUACCGCCUGAAUAGUACAGCAUGGAAUGAUGAAAGAGGACCUCGGUCUGAUUUUGCUGGUCUUUAACGGUCGGGCUUCGGCCCGGCCUAUGCAGACCCGAGGUAAUGGUCAAUAGAGACGGACGGGGGCAUCCGUACUGCGGCGACAGAGGUGAAAUUCUUGGACCGCCGCAAGACGAACGACAGCGAAGGCAUUUGCCAAGAAUGUUUUCCUUGAUCAAGAACGAAAGUUAGAGGUUCGAAGGCGAUCAGAUACCGCCCUAGUUCUAACCAUAAACGAUGCCAACUAGCGAUCCGCCGGUGUUACUCCCAUGACUCGGCGGGCAGCUUCCGGGAAACCAAAGUCUUUGGGUUCCGGGGGAAGUAUGUUUGCAAAGCUGAAACUUAAAGGAAUUGACGGAAGGGCACCACCAGGAGUGGAGCCUGCGGCUUAAUUUGACCCAACACGGGAAACCUCACCAGGCCCGGACACUGGAAGGAUUGACAGAUUGAGAGCUCUUUCUUGAUUCGGUGGGUGGUGGUGCAUGGCCGUUCUUAGUUGGUGGAGCGAUUUGUCUGGUUAAUUCCGAUAACGAACGAGACUCUAGCCUGCUAAAUAGGUGCCGGGUUUUUACAUCUCCUCGCAAGGGGAGAGUGGAGUGUGUGGUUGUCGGGAUCCUGGGCUGUGGUGGUCGUUUAGGCUGCGGGGGGCAACUCUCGUGGUCUGGGCGGCUGUCAUAGUUCACCCGGUGUACGCACACUUCGCGUCCGGCAUUUUUCUUCUUAGAGGGACAAGCGGCGUCCAGCCGCGUGACAGUGAGCAAUAACAGGUCUGUGAUGCCCUUAGAUGUCCUGGGCCGCACGCGCGCUACACUGAAGGAAUCAGCGUGUUAUUCAUCCCUGUCUGAAAAGACCGGGCAACCGCUGAACCUCCUUCGUGGUUGGGAUUGGGGACUGCAAUGAUCCCCAUGAACCAGGAAUCCCUAGUAGGCGCGGGUCACUAGCCCGCGUCGAUUACGUCCCUGCCCUUUGUACACACCGCCCGUCGCUACUACCGAUUGAAUGAUUUAGUGAGAACUUCAGACGGCUAUGUUUGUCCGGGGCAACCCGCGUCGAGCAAGGCUGAAAGAUGUUCAAACUUGAUCCUUUAGAGGGAGUAAAAGUCGUAACAAGGUU
rnacentral:rRNA from 1 species